rnacentral:rRNA from 1 species
CCUACGGGAGGCAGCAGUGGGGAAUAUUGGGCAAUGGAGGAAACUCUGACCCAGCGACGCCGCGUGCGGGAUGAAGGCCUUCGGGUUGUAAACCGCUUUCAGUAGGGAAGAAGCGAAAGUGACGGUACCUACAAAAGAAGCACCGGCUAACUAUGUUCCAGCAGCCGCGGUAAUACAUAGGGUGCAAGCGUUGUCCGGAAUUAUUGGGCGUAAAGAGCUCGUAGGUCGUUUGUUACGUCGGAUGUGAAAACCUGAGGCUCAACCUCAGGCCUGCAUUCGAUACGGGCAAACUAGAGUUUGGUAGGGGAGACUGGAAUUCCUGGUGUAGCGGUGGAAUGCGCAGAUAUCAGGAGGAACACCAAUGGCGAAGGCAGGUCUCUGGGCCAAUACUGACACUGAGGAGCGAAAGUCUGGGGAGCGAACAGGAUUAGAUACCCUGGUAGUCCAGACCGUAAACGGUGGGCACUAGUUGUGGGAACCUUCCACGGUUUCUGCGGCGUAGCUAACGCAUUAAGUGCCCGCCUGGGGAGUACGAUCGCAAGAUUAAAACUUAAAUGAAUUGACGGCUGAGAGNGCGAGACGACGACGAGGAGAG